AGCAGAGGCUGGAGGGUGAAGUCAAAGGGAAGUUUUCCUUAAGAUGGAAAGCGCUUCAGCAGGUCUAAGGGUUGGUGGGGAUGGUCUCGGAGAGCACGGGGCUCACUAUUGGGGAGAGGGGAGAAGCCAGUGAGUUCCCUGAGAGCUUGAGGGGUUGGACCUGAGGCAGGGAGCCCUGUGCAGUGAUGGGGGCAGGCAGGGCAGGGGAGAGGUGUCUGGAGCGGGGCUUGCUGGUUGGUAGCAGCUAGCAGGGGGGCGUUCCCACCCAUGGCCUCCGUUUCCAAGGCUCAGGGUGGCUGUUAGUGUCUGAGCCUUGAGUGAGGGGUGGGACCCGGGGAGAGGGCCUGUUUGCUGUGCUCGCUCUCCUUCCGCCCUCUAAGCACGGUUGUUUUGAAAGGGGAAUUGUAGGAACACUGCACCGCGUAUUCAUCAGCUGAGGCCACCCGUGCUUCCUUUAUUCAAGUGGCCGGGAGCAAGGCGCUGGCCUGCACAGCUGUGCCCUGUGGGAGCGCCAGUCUCCCUGCUUCUCCGCGCAGGAAAGCAGCCGCGACUUCUGGGCUGAGGUUCACUCAUCUCUGAGCCGCUGCUGCGCUGUUUUCACUGGUGUGUGAUGGCCACGUGCUGGCAGACGGAGAAGGGAGCACGGAGAAGGGAGCACGUACACCGAUGGGCACAGCUGAGCCUGUGAGAGGAGUGAGGGCUGUGGCAGGCCCGCCCUGACCUCACAACAGCGGAUGGUCUAGACUUGGAAGGAAAUAAAAAUGACGCCUUUUCUCCUCUU